rnacentral:lncRNA from 1 species
UGUUAGUCACUUGCCACCCCGUGGACUGCAGCCCGCCAGGCUCCUCUGUCCAUGGACUUCUCCAGGCAAGAAUACUGGAGUAGGUUGCCAUGCCCUCCUCCAGGGAUCUUCCUGACCCAGGGAUCGAACCCUGGCUCUUGUAUUACAGGCGGAUUCUGAGCCACCAAGGAAGGCCAACAGAGACGGAAUCCAGGAACUGAGUCUCCAGGCUCAUGUGGAGGACAGGACAGCAGAUGAAGAGUUAAAGAAGACAGAGCUGGGGGUUAAACUUUCCAUCCAGCUCCCCAAGCUGACCCCUUACUCUCCUCCCCCUCAGGGGCUUCAUCUUCACCUGCCACUCAAAGAGAUACCAGAUUAUCAGUCGCUCAAAGCAUCAACGGAUUUUAGAAGAGGAAGUUCGGUGUGGUGACUAAGCAGAGAGCUUUGCAGUCAAGAGGUGAGUUCCUAACAGUUUCCGGGUCUGCCCCUUCUAACUGUGUGACCUUGGGCAAGUUACUUACCUUCUCUGAGCCUUUAGAUUCUGCAUCGUAAUAUGGGGCUAUUAGCAGUUCCCCACUUUGCAGGGCAUUGUGGGAAUUAAACAAAAUACCUAUAAAAUUAGGGCACACGUGUAGUUAUCUGCUAGACUAUAUCACCUCUGAGAGUGAAAGGAGGCAUUAUAAAUAAUUGUCGAGUGUCCUAGGACAGCCCCAGGCAAACCAGGGCAUAUGGCCACACUGUGAAGAGCGUACACAGGGCUUGCUUGAAUAUGAUGGUGAUAGGGACAGAGUAAAGGGACA